AAAACAUCAAGAAAUACAUGUUGUUGCAACUUGGGACGGUGAUCAACUCCCAAAAAUAUAGAGCAGGAUAUGAGGCUCCCUCGGCGAGUUUAGGGGCGACUAAAAGCAUCGAUGCCUCGACGGAGAGCUGGAUAUCAUUCUAUUUUAAGAGGAGCAUGAAAAAUGCAAAGUGCACAGUUUUGGAUUACCGAGCAUUAACAAGCUUGAACAUGUUAUCCUGCCCAUUCAGUUUCAAUUUCCUUGCUUUCUGGCAUGAGUACACCAUGAUCUGCCUAUUGACAAUCUAAAAAAUGCUUCUGUUCUCUACAUCAACCAGACUAAUUCUCCCGGUGCUGCGGCAAGCAAGGAACCGACGGUGUUUGCCACAAUUUCUAGUCCUGUAGAAAUGGACAUAUCGUCUCAAGCCAAUGGACAUAUCGUAACUAUUUCAUGGCAAAUCGAUCUCAUCAUUGUAGUAACUGGUUUUUUCAGUACCUGCUCAACACUGAAUUAUGGUAACU